GCGUCUCAUUGUUCGCUUGUUCUUUGUCUUUUGAGUAUAAUAACACAAUGUCUGCAUGUAGAAUCUCCAUUACCACAAAAAUCUACAUACCAAGUCCAUUUCAGAAAACGAUAUAUUGAGAGUAUCCACAUCGCUGCCGUCGAACGAUGAGCACAACAUAUUAAUUGUCAACAUAUGGCGUUAUUCAAGCGUGUGAGCGUGUCCUGUUCAUAGCGAUCGAUAUCAUUGUGUUACGACUGCUUGUUAUGAAUUGCAUUAUAAAACGCGUCAAUGAUCUACAUGAUAUUUAAUCAGGUAAAAUACAUACAUAUUUCCAUUUCACAGAAUGACAUAUUAUUAAGAACGUCAACAUCGUCGAAAUCCUCGAUUUUCCCCUCUGUUCGUCGCUGCUUUCGGCCAUGACUGCCCUGAAGUAUCACAAAUACUCUACCAUACACGGGACAAUAGUUUUGGGAUAGGAUGGUUCAUAUUUCACGAAGAUUUUUAAGGAUUGAAAACCGAUACCCAGGAAACGUCACUUCUGCCCAGGAACCGACUAUUAUUCAGCAGGCCUUUCGUCGCCUUCCGUUCUUCCCUGAUCUCAAAUUUCACGCCCGCAAAUUAUUCCCGCCCGCAUCGAAAGGCCUGCGGAGGAGGUAGUAAAUAUAUGGAAAUAUUUUGCUUGGAACCCACGACUUUUUAUUCGGGACCCACGAUUUUUUACCCACGACCCACGCCUUUUUACCCACGACCCACGCCUUUUUACCCACGACCCACGCCUUUUUACCCACGACCCACGCCUUUUUACCCACGACCCACGCCUUUUUACCCACGACCCACGCCUUUUUACCCACGACCCACGCCUUUUUACCCACGACCCACGCCUUUUUACCCACGACCCACGCCUUUUUACCCACGACUUACGACUUUUUACCCACGACCCACGACUUUUUACCCACGACCCACGACAUUCUACCCACGACCCACGACAUUCUACCCACGACCCACGACCCACGACUGUUAGCUAGUCCCGAUUUUUCAUAGGGGGAGGGGGGGCUCA